rnacentral:rRNA from 1 species
UACGGGGGAGGCAAGCGUUGUUCGGAUUUACUGGGCGUAAAGGGCGCGUAGGCGGCGCAACAAGUCACUUGUGAAAUCUCCGGGCUUAACCCGGAGCGGUCAAGUGAUACUGUCGUGCUAGAGUGCGGAAGGGGCUACUGGAAUUCUCGGUGUAGCGGUGAAAUGCGUAGAUAUCGAGAGGAACACCUGCGGCGAAGGCGGGUAGCUGGGCCGACACUGACGCUGAUGCGCGAAAGCCCAGGGGAGCGAACGGG